rnacentral:rRNA from 1 species
AACUCUACAAUGCAGGCAACUGCGAUAGGGGAACAUCGAGUGGUCUCCAUAUUGGGGGCCUGUCCAUCCGCCUAAAAAGCGGGUGUUAGCAAGGGCCGGGCAAGACCGGUGCCAGCCGCCGCGGUAAUACCGGCGGCUCGAGUGGUGGCCGAUAUUAUUGAGUCUAAAGGGUCCGUAGCCGGCUUUGCAAGUCUCUCGGGAAAUCCAGCGGCUUAACCGUUGGUCGUCCGGGGGGUACUACAUUGCUUGGGACUGGGAGAGGUAGGAGGUACUCAGGGGGUAGGAGUGAAAUCCUGUAAUCCUUUGGGGACCACCGGUGGCGAAGGCGUCCUACCAGAACAGGUCCGACGGUGAGGGACGAAAGCUAGGGGCACGAACCGGAUUAGAUACCCGGGUAGUCCUAGCCGUAAACGAUGCUCGCUAGGUGUCACAACAGUCAUGAACUGUUGCGGUGCCGUAGGGAAGCCGUGAAGCGAGCCACUUGGGAAGUACGACCGCAAGGUUGAAACUUAA